UUUUCACUUCGUCUGCCGUUCCUCUCGGUUGAGUUGGAGUGUGGCAGUUUUUAUUGAAGCUGUUAGCAGAAUUCAAUAAUUACCAGACCACACUACUAACCGUUCAAAUAACACACGUGGGCAGCACAAGUUUAACAAAUGUCCAAAUCAAGUGAUCAUGGGAUCUCCUCUUAUUGCCAGGAGGCUCAUCAGGACAGGCCAGCUCAGAAGGAUGAAAAUACAGGACUGAGCUGAAAAGACUUGUGUGAGCUGCCAUAAAGAAUGUGAAGACAAAGAAAACGCUUCUUCUUUUGAGCAGAUGUUUGAAAGCUGGUUGCCAUGCAGCGCUGUGUGUGCUCCCAAGUAAACAAGCCGACAGUCUAUCGAUUUCAUGCGGGUUGAGCUGGUUUUUGGGGAAGUGAUUCAUCGUCUGCAGUGCAGCUAGGCCUUUGGGACGGCAAUUAUGUAAUGUCGCCGGUCUGAUCCUGGACCGUGAAGUUUGGCAUCCAGUGACUUUGACAGAAUUGGAUGAGCGGUUGCAGCAACUAUGUCUGUGUACCGCCAAGCUCCAUAUGGUGGCAGGACAACUAAUGGACACUGGCCUGAAGAUGGAUCACAUUUAUUAAACAUUUUACUCUGUAGAAAGCAGAAUGAUUUAUUGUUUUUAAUUUCAAUAAACUGUCAAAACCGA